rnacentral:rRNA from 1 species
UACGGAGGGAGCUAGCGUUGUUCGGAAUUACUGGGCGUAAAGCGCGCGUAGGCGGCUUUGUAAGUUAGAGGUGAAAGCCCGGAGCUCAACUCCGGAACUGCCUUUAAGACUGCAUCGCUUGAAUCCAGGAGAGGUGAGUGGAAUUCCGAGUGUAGAGGUGAAAUUCGUAGAUAUUCGGAAGAACACCAGUGGCGAAGGCGGCUCACUGGAGCUGGUAUUGACGCUGAGGUGCGAAAGCGUGGGGGAGCAAACAGG